rnacentral:rRNA from 1 species
UGGGGAAUAUUGGACAAUGCGGGAAACCGUGAUCCAGCAAUGCCGCGUGAGUGAUGAAGGCCUUAGGGUUGUAAAGCUCUUUUACCAGGGAUGAUAAUGACAGUACCUGGAGAAUAAGCUCCGGCUAACUCCGUGCCAGCAGCCGCGGUAAUACGGAGGGAGCUAGCGUUGUUCGGAAUUACUGGGCGUAAAGCGCGCGUAGGCGGCUAUUCAAGUCAGGGGUGAAAUCCCGGGGCUCAACCCUGGAACUGCCUCCAAAACUAUCGGUCUUGAGUUCGAGAGAGGUGAGUGGAACUCCGAGUGUAGAGGUGAAAUUCGUAGAUAUUCGGAAGAACACCAGUGGCGAAGGCGGCUCACUGGCUCGAUACUGACGCUGAGGUGCGAAAGUGUGGGGAGCAAACAGG